ensembl:lncRNA
UAUGACUAUAACUGAAUAUGGGCAUGUCGAUCUGUUCAGGUCAGGAGUCUUAUCAAACAUGUGAAGUUUGUGGCAGAUUGGACAUUGUAUGUCUGAGUUAUAGCAACUUCAUUUUUCAUGGCGAAUCAUCGAAAUUCGUCAGGCCGCCACAGACACGCCCUUCAACGAAAACUCAAGAUCUUCGCAAUUUAACAUCGCAAAGGCCUUUAGAUUAGGCAUACCAAAUUUGGUGUUGAUCUGAAUAAAUCUCUAGGAGGAGUUCGUUAAAAUACAAGGCAUGCAAAUGACAAAAAUGAUGCAAAAUUUGCUCAUAAAAUUAAAAAUAACCGACUUCCUGUUGGGUUUCGGAUAUUGCUCCAAGAGUCUUUUUUGUAGGUACUGAUGCUUUACAUAUGUGUGCC